rnacentral:rRNA from 1 species
GGAGGAAAAGAAACCAACAGGGAUUCCCCGAGUAACGGCGAGCGAAAAGGGAAGAGUCCAGCGCCGAAUCCCGCGUCCCCGUGGCGUCGGGAAAUGUGGCGUUUAGGAGUGAGCGUGCCGGAGGCCGGCUCUGCAGCAAGUCCCCCUGACCGGGGCUCUUUCCCAGAGUGGGUGCGAGGCCCAUGGCUGCUAGGCCCCCUUUGGAUGCGAUCUCCUUGGAGUCGGGUUGCUUGGGAGUGCAGCCCUAAUCGGGUGGUAAACUCCACCUAAGGCUAAAUACGGCCGUGAGACCGAUAGCAAACAAGUACCGUGAGGGAAAGUUGCAAAGAACUUUGAAGAGAGAGUUCAAGAGUACGUGAAACUGCUCAGAGGCAAACGGGUGGGCCCUCGAAAUCCUGUGGCGGGAGGAUUCAGUCGAGAGGCGCGGACGUCGCACCGGAGCAUCGCCAGAAUGGUUUCCCGGAGUGGACCUCUCUGGGGCGUCGAUUUCGUGUCGCCCGACGCAUUUGUUUCCCGCCCUGAGGACGCCGCAACCGGUCGGGAGACGGCCUGAAGGAUGGGAGAGGCAGUUGGCCGGUGUUCCUCCCCGUGGGGUUCGCCGGUUUUUUAGCCGUUCUGUCGCACGGCUCGUCGCCUGAUCGUGGUGUCGCGAGGCCCGUUUCUGGGCUUCUCCGCCUCCUCCUCUGUGGUGUCGGGUAGUCGUGGCAGGAGUUCUCGCGGGCUGCGGGCGCACAGACUCACUCUGUGGCCCAGCGGAUCCCGAGCUUCGUUGGCCGCGGUGAGGCCCGUCUGGAGUGCCGGCGGUUAGCGGCGAGUAGAUCGGCCACCCACCCGACCCGUCUUGAAACACGGACCAAGGAGUCUAACAUGUGUGCGAGUCAAUGGGUCUCGAAUAAGCCCACAGGGCGCAAUGAAAGCAAAGGCCGGGCAUGAUCCCGGCUGUGUUGGGAUCCACCCUCCUCCGCGGGGGUGGCGCACCAACGACCCGGCCCGUCCGAUUCAUCGGUGGGGCGGAGUUUGAGCAUACACGUUGGGACCCGAAAGAUGGUGAACUAUGCCCGGGCAGGACGAGGCCAGAGGAAACUCUGGUGGAGGUCCGUAGCGGUUCUGACGUGCAAAUCGAUCGUCAGACCCGGGUAUAGGGGCGAAAGACUAAUCGAACCAUCUAGUAGCUGGUUCCCUCCGAAGUUUCCCUCAGGAUAGCUGGCGCUCGGAGGAAUCAGUCUCAUCCGGUAAAGCGAAUGAUUAGAGGCCUUGGGGCCGAAACGACCUCAACCUAUUCUCAAACUUUAAAUGGGUGAGAAGUCCGGCUUGCACGAGUGAAGCUCGGACGAAGCAGGAUGAGAGUGCCCAGUGGGCCACUUUUGUUAAGCAGAACUGGCGCUGUGGGAUGAACCAAACGCCGGGUUACGGCGCCCGAUGCAAGACGCUCAUGAGAUCCCAUGAAAGGUGUUGGUUGCUCCAGACAGCAGGACGAUGGCCAUGGAAGUCGGAAUUCGCUAAGGAGUGUGUAACAACUCACCUGCCGAAGCAACUAGCCCUGAAAAUGGAUGGUGCUCCAGCGUCGAGCCCAUACCCGGCCGCUGCGGCAGAACUUUUCCGACAAGGGGAGGCUUACGCCGCAGUGAGUAGGAGGGUCGCAGCGGCGCGCGUUGAAGGUGCCGGGCGCGAGCCCGCCUGGAGCCGUCGCUGGUGCAGAUCUUGGUGGUAGUAGCAAAUACUCAAGUGAGAACCUUGAGGACUGAAGGUGGAGAAGGGUUCCAUGUGAACAGCAGUUGAACAUGGGUCAGUCGGCCCUAAGGGAUCGGAGAAAUCCGUUCCGAAGCGGGACUUUGGAUAGAAAAAACCGUGCGAGUUUGUCCCGCUGCUGACCGAAAGGGAAUGGGGUCAAUAUUCCCCAACCCGGACACGGAGAAAGGGCCCUCGGGCCCAAGUGCGGUAACGCAAACGAACUCGGAGACGUCGACGGAGGACCCGGGGAAGAGUUGUCUUUUCUUUGUAAGAGUUCGCGACCCUGGAAUCGCCUCGUGCGGAGAUAGGGUCUCUGUUCUCGUAAAAGCACCGCGGCUCUUGCGGUGUCCGGUGCGCCUCUGCCGGCCCUUGCAAAUCCGAGGGAGAGAGUGUGAUUUUCGUGCCGGUCCGUACCCAUAUCCGCAGCAGGUCUCCAAGGUGAACAGCCUCUAGUCGAUA